AUUGAACGCUGGCGGCAGGCCUAACACAUGCAAGUCGAACGGUAGCACAGAGAGCUUGCUCUCGGGUGACGAGUGGCGGACGGGUGAGUAAUGUCUGGGAAACUGCCCGAUGGAGGGGGAUAACUACUGGAAACGGUAGCUAAUACCGCAUAACGUCGCAAGACCAAAGUGGGGGACCUUCGGGCCUCACACCAUCGGAUGUGCCCAGAUGGGUUUAGCUAGUAGGUGGGGUAAUGGCUCACCUAGGCGACGAUCCCUAGCUGGUCUGUGAGGAUGACCCGCCACACUGGAACUGAGACACGGUCCAGACUCCUACGGGAGGCAGCAGUGGGGAAUAGUGCACAAUGGGCGCAAGCCUGAUGCAGCCAUGCCGCGUGUAUGAAGAAGGCCUUCGGGUUGUAAAGUACUUUCAGCGGGGAGGAAGGCGGUGAAGUUAAUAACUUCACCGAUUGACGUUACCCGCAGAAGAAGCACCGGCUAACUCCGUGCCAGCAGCCGCGGUAA
rnacentral:rRNA from 1 species